AUGCCAGACGCCGGCCCUCUCCAUCCCCACGCCGCUCUAUGGGCGCAAGCCAACUCCAUCCAGAACAUCAAGAGCCUCAUCCCAGUCACCCUCGACCUCAAGGCGUCCAACUUCUCCAAGUGGCGCCACUUCCUCACCAUUGCCGUCAACCAGUUCGCCCUCGCCGAUCAUCUUGAACCGGCACCCCCUCCCGCUGACGCAGAGUGGCUGCGGAUGGACUCCACCGUCCUUCGGUGGCUGUACGGCUCCAUCAACCCCGACAUCGCCGACAUGGUCAUGGCAGCCGGUACCACGGCUGCCGCUGUCUUCGCCGGCAUCAUCUCCCUCUUCCGCGACAAUCAACAGGCGCGUGCGGGCUACCUCGGCCAGAAGUUCCGCAACAUCGUCCAAGGCGACAAGACCGUCACCGCCUACUGCCUCGAGCAAAAAACGGUCGCCGAUGCUCUCGCCGACGUCAAUGCCCCGGUCUCUGAUGACGCUCUGGUGUGGAACACCAUCAAGGGCCUCAACGACCACUACAAGGACAUCGGCAACCUCGCGCCUAUCAUCAAGCCAUUCCCCACGUUCCUUGAAUUUCGCAACAUGCUUCUUCUCCAGGAACUUAAGCCGUCCUCCCCGAGCUCUACGUAG
rnacentral:rRNA from 1 species